rnacentral:tRNA from 1 species
CCUUCGAUAGCUCAGUUGGUAGAGCGGUGGACUGUAGAGAGAAUUCGCUUCGAGAUGUGAUAACACAGUCGAAAGAAGCAGGCAUCCAUAGGUCGCUGGUUCAAAUCCGGCUCGAAGGA